rnacentral:tRNA from 2 species
GGGGCCGACGGAUGGACCCUCCUUACCGAACGAUAUUUGAAUGUGCAGUGUCCACACAGAUUGUCUGAUGAAAAAGUAACGAGCAGAGAAACCUUUAUAGGCUUGGAGCUCAGGUGGUUAGAGCGCACCCCUGAUAAGGGUGAGGUCGGGGGGUCAAGUCCACUCCGGGCUACCAAAUUCUUCCUCAUACUGCGUUAUGCUCGCGGUCGUUUACCCAAGUAAACUUCCCGUUCGCAUGCCUUGUCUGAAAAAGAAUUGACUCGGUAUGAAUAAAGGUCUCUGCAAGACUGUAUGGGGCUAUAGCUCAGCUGGGAGAGCGCCUGCCUUGCACGCAGGAGGGCAGCGGUUCGAUCCCGCUUAGCUCCACCAUAUCGGUCCUGUAUUUAUAAUACUUCAGAAUAUAUUGGCGACAGUAUGCUGCGAAGUAUUUUGCUCUUUAACAAUCUGGAACAAGCUGAAAAUUGAAAUGAUGAAUAAUCGGAAGAUUAUUCACGAGUCUCUCAAAAGCGAACAGCCGAUGAUGGAAACAUCUUCGGGUUGUGAGGUUAAGUGACUAAGCGUACACGGUGGAGCCCUUGGCCAGUGGUUGCCUGCGACAGUCCUUAACCUCCAACCCUUAAAUUUUUCCAUCUUGGCAGUGGGUUUUUUGAGAGACUCGCUGAAAUAAACUUCCCAUUAUAAUCAUUUUCAAUUUUCAGCUUGAUUCCGAAUUGGAAAGAGCACAAUACGUCUAGCAGACUGUCGCCAAUAUUCUCUGAAGCAUUAUAAAUACGGACCAUAGGUGGAAGCUAAUGGGAACAAACGCUUAAAUCCGCAGAAAAGGAAGCCUCUCCCAUUAGUAUGACCUCAAGCUUGCAGAAUCUUUAUUUCUGCGCGGCCUUUUUUUUAUAAAGGGAUGGCGACGAGUAAGUUUUCUCCGUUAAAGACGGGGAUAAAGGAUAAAUAGGAAGAAUUGGAGGGCGGAAUGGGAUUGACCCCGACCUCCCCUAUAGGGAGGGGGCUCACCCACUAUAACUUAUAGGGGUUGUGCUCCUCUUAUUUUUCACAAAAUAGGGGGCAACCCGCCAUUAAUUAUAUUUCCUAG